GGAAUAUUGGACAAUGGCCGAGAGGCUGAUCCAGCCAUGCCGCGUGCGGGAGGACGGCCCUAUGGGUUGUAAACCGCUUUUGUCAGGGGGCAAUAAGGUCUACGUGUAGACUGAUGAGCGUACCUGGCGAAUAAGCAUCGGCUAACUCCGUGCCAGCAGCCGCGGUAAUACGGAGGAUGCAAGCGUUAUCCGGACUUAUUGGGUUUAAAGGGUGCGUAGGCGGAAGCUUAAGCGUGAGGUGAAAUGCCACUGCUCAACAGUGGAACUGCCUCGCGAACUGGGUAUCUGGAAUGCCCCUGCCGUGGUAGGAAUGUGUGGUGUAGCGGUGAAAUGCAUCGAGAUCACACAGAACACCGAUUGCGAAGGCAUCUCACGAAGGGGUGAUUGACGCUGAGGCACGAAAGCCUGGGGAUCAAACA
rnacentral:rRNA from 1 species